rnacentral:tRNA from 1 species
GUGCCUAUAGCUUAAUGGUAAAGCUCCGCCCUGUGGAGGCGGCUAUCAGGGUUCAAUUCCCUGUAGGCACCCCA